rnacentral:rRNA from 1 species
GAUGAACGCUAGCGGCAGGCUUAACACAUGCAAGUCGAGGGGUAUAGGUUUUCGGACCUAGAGACCGGCGCACGGGUGCGUGACGCGUAUGCAAUCUACCUUUCACAGAGGGAUAGCCCAGAGAAAUUUGGAUUAAUACCUCAUAGUAUAGCAGUUUUGCAUGAAACCACUAUUAAAGUUCCAACGGUGAAAGAUGAGCAUGCGUCCCAUUAGCUAGAUGGUAAGGUAACGGCUUACCAUGGCUACGAUGGGUAGGGGUCCUGAGAGGGGAAUCCCCAAAACUGGUACUGAGACACGGACCAGACUCCUACGGGAGGCAGCAGUGAGGAAUAUUGGUCAAUGGACGAAAGUCUGAACCAGCCAUGCCGCGUGCAGGAUGACGGUCCUAUGGAUUGUAAACUGCUUUUGUACGAGAAGAAACAACAUUACGUGUAAUGUCUUGACGGUAUCGUAAGAAUAAGGAUCGGCUAACUCCGUGCCAGCAGCCGCGGUAACAC